rnacentral:rRNA from 1 species
GAUGAACGCUGGCUACAGGCUUAACACAUGCAAGUCGAGGGGAAACGACGGGGAAGCUUGCUUCCCCGGGCGUCGACCGGCGCACGGGUGAGUAACGCGUAUCCAACCUGCCUCUGACUGAGGGAUAACCCGUCGAAAGUCGGCCUAAUACCUCAUGGCAUCGUCUGCGGGCAUCCAACGACGAUUAAAGAUUUCAUCGGUCAGGGAUGGGGAUGCGUCUGAUUAGCUUGUUGGCGGGGUAACGGCCCACCAAGGCUACGAUCAGUAGGGGUUCUGAGAGGAAGGUCCCCCACAUUGGAACUGAGACACGGUCCAAACUCCUACGGGAGGCAGCAGUGAGGAAUAUUGGGCAAUGGGCGGGAGCCUGAACCAGCCAAGUAGCGUGCAGGAGGACGGCCCUAUGGGUUGUAAACUGCUUUUAUGCGGGGAUAAAGUGAGGGACGUGUCCUUCAUUGCAGGUACCGCAUGAAUAAGGACCGGCUAAUUCCGUG